UCUUUCAGUUCUUAGUUGAUUAGGAUUUCUUAUCCACUGUUUUGUAUUUCCCCUCUUUCAUUUUUUUUUUAAAAAGGUCCCUAUAAUAAAUUAAAAACUUUGCAAUCUGAGUGAUUUAAAGAUGCUGUCAGUAGUGCUGUGACUGAAAUUGGAUUGUGAGGUUCAUCUUUAACUUUUGGCAGGAACCUGAUUUACCUGAUGGACCUGACGAUGGAAAAAAGGCGUCCUUACUUAUGAUGAAUUUUUCUAGAGAUGAAGUUGAGUUUGCAAUGAAUAUGCUUGGUGAUCAAGAUGGAGGCUGACUACAAAGCAAGUUCCCUCUGUACCUUCCUCUUACAUAUUUGGAUUUGCCAAGUUGAUAUUAUCUGAUAUUGACUGCUUUGCUUUUCUGUUUUUUCUGUAGACUCCUAAUAUGCAGUUUCAGGCUUUGAUUUACUACCUUACAAAUCUAAGUGAAUUACAGAUGGUUUUAGUUUUGGCUACUGGAGGUGAAUCUAUUCCUCCCUGUAACACUACAUUACUCAUCAUUCAAGGUAAACUCAUUCCUUACAAUCUACAGUUUUGACUAGAAAUUGAACAUUAUAGCCUAUUGUUAUUAAUUCUGCUUUCCCAUUUCUCUAUGUAAAGGUGUACCACCAUUUACUUGUGUGUUCC